rnacentral:rRNA from 1 species
UACGGAGGGUGCGAGCGUUGUCCGGAAUCAUUGGGCGUAAAGAGCGUGUAGGCGGCCCGGUAAGUCCGCUGUGAAAGUCCAGGGCUCAACCCUGGGAUGCCGGUGGAUACUGUCGGGCUCGAGUCCGGAAGAGGAGUGUGGAAUUCCUGGUGUAGCGGUGAAAUGCGCAGAUAUCAGGAGGAACACCAAUGGCGAAGGCAGCACUCUGGGACGUGACUGACGCUGAGACGCGAAAGCGUGGGGAGCAAACAGG